rnacentral:rRNA from 1 species
GUGCCAGCCGCCGCGGUAAUACGGAGGGUGCAAGCGUUAAUCGGAAUCACUGGGCGUAAAGCGUACGUAGGCGGUCUUGCAGGUCAGGCGUGAAAGCCCUCGGCUCAACCGGGGAAUUGCGCUUGAAACCGCAUGACUUGAGUACAGGAGAGGAUGGCAGAAUUCCGGGUGUAGGGGUGAAAUCCGUAGAUAUCCGGAGGAAUACCAGUGGCGAAGGCGGCCAUCUGGACUGUCACUGACGCUGAGGUACGAAAGCGUGGGGAGCAAACAGGAUUAGAUACCCUGGUAGUCCACGCUGUAAACGAUGAAUACUAGGUGUCGGGGGGUUGCCCUUCGGCGCCGCAGCUAACGCGUUAAGUAUCCCGCCUGGGGAGUACGGUCGCAAGGCUGAAACUCAAAUGAAUUGACGG